AUCGAUGCAUCUAGCUAGCUGUUGGCUAUCUGUAUGUCUUUGGAAAAAUGUCUGUUCAAAUCCUUUGCCCAUUUUUCAAUCGGGCUUUUUUGUUCUGCUGGUAUAGGAAUUUUUACAUAUUUUGGAUUGACCCCUUAUCAGAUAUGAUUUGCAAAUACUUUCUUCCACUCAUUAGGUUGCCUUUUCAUUUUGUUUCCUUUGUGCACAAGCUUUUUAUUUUAAUGUAGUCCCACUUUUCAUUUUUGCGUUUGGUGUCAGAUUCGGAAAAUCACCAAGACUGAUGUCAAGGAGUUUAUUGCCUACUGGUUUCAUGUCUUAUAUUCAACUCUUUAAUCCAUUUUGAGCUAACUUUUGUGUAUGGUGUAAGAUAAGUGACCUAAUUUUCCCAACAGCAAUUAUUGAAUACACUGUCUUUUCUUGAUUAUAUAUUCUUGUCUACUUUAUCGUAAAUUAACUGACCAUACAUUCAUUGGUUUAUUUCUAGGCUAUUCUGCGCCAUUAAUCUAGGUCUGUAUUUAUGCCAAUACUUGAUUACUAUAGCUUUGUAAUAAUAUAGUUUGAAAUUAAGGAGCAUGAGGCCUCCAGCUUUGUUCUUUCUCAAGAUUGUGUUGGCUGUUUGGAGCCUUUCGGGGUCCCAUACAAAUUUUAGGGUUGUUUUUUAAAAAUGCCAUUGGAAUUUUGAGAGAUUGCAUUGAAUCUGUAGGUUGCUUUGGGUAGUGUGAACAUUUUAACAAUAUUCGCCCAAUCCCUAAGCAUGAUGUAUCUUUCCAUUUAUUUGUCUGCAGUUUCAUUUAUGUCAGUUUUCAGUGUACAGGUCUUUCAUGUUUUUGUUUAAAAAUCCCUGGGUAUUUUGUUUUUGAUGCCGUUUUAUAAAUGGGAUUAUUUUAAUUUCUCUUUCUGGUAGUUUAUUAGCGUACAGAAAUGCAAGAUUCCUGUGUAUUGAUUUUGUGUUCUGCAACUUUACUGAAUUUAUUAGUUCCAACAGUUUUUUGGUCUUUGGGGUUUUCUAUAUGUCAUUUUAUCUGCAAAAACUGACAAUUUGGGUGCCUUUUGCUUGCCUAAUUGCUCUGGCUAGGACUUCCAAUACUAUGUUAACAUUUAAAAUUUGACAUAAAAAGCAAAGUGGUCCAAAGAAAGAAGUUUGAAACUAAAUGUUGAACACUCUACUGAGUCCAUGGACCAAACUCCCUCCUUUUUAUGAAACCCCAUGUGGGUGAUGCAGGUUAUUAUCAGGAACAAUUCUAAGUUACUACAGCUUUGUCACAAGCCACCCUAAAAACUUAAGAGGUUCAAACUUAGUAAUCAUUUCUCUCUCGGAUUCUGUGGACUAGGAAUUUAGGAAAGGCUCUACUUGGCAGUUCUGACUCCAGGUAUCGGAUGUAUUUGCAUUUACAGCGGCUAGAGCUGGGCUAGCGGGAAGUUAGAACACGAGGGACUGGCCAGACGUUUCUGCUUGUAGUUUCAGGAUCUCUCUGUGUGGGCUGGUCUGGGCUUCCUCACAGAAUUGGCUUCGGGGUGACUCAAGGACUUACCAGCCUGUGUAGCUUUGCGUGUUCCAACAGAUCAGCUGUAAGCUGUGUUGCCUUUGAUUUAGCUUUGGAAGUCACAGAGCAGUCCUUUUGUCGUGUCAGCCAGUCACCUCUUGAUCUGGGGAAUGUCAGACUUUAUGGAUCUUUUACAACCGCCACAUCUCCCCUCAGGAAGCCCAUCUGGUGUGAGAGAGGCAAGACCAGCCUAGAUACUGCCACCAGGAGAAUACCAAAAGAUACAAUUACCAUGGGAGAGAUGGUGAACUUUCCUUCUUGGCAAUAUCUACUACCCCUCCUGGGUGGUAUUACAGGAGUUUACAGCAGUCUCCAACUUGGAAAUAGUAUCAGGAUGCUGCUCCAACGAUCUUUCACGUCAAGGUCAGCCCACCCCCCAGUUGGGAACUGGUGGGAGCUACAGCCUGAAAGGACAGCGGAAGGAGGAGGGAAGACACACUAUAUUCAUCUACUCCGACAAGCAUCACGGGCAAAGCAAAAGCAAUGGAGAUGACUGGUCUGUGGGGACGGGGGGUGGCACUCUCACAGGGAUGGCCGUGGCAGACACUGCUGAAGCCCAGAGCCACUACAACACUGCGACUUCAUGGCACACACAGUUAGGGGCAGUGAGAAAGGUUUACUUAACUGUUCUAGGCUGUAGCAAGGAUGGUUUAUGUUUGUGCUUAAAGGUGAAGAGAAGAAAAGAAACAAGGAGAGAAACUUUAGGUCAGAUAUAGAAAAUGAGAAUGAGCUCAAUGCAGAUGGUCAGUAAGCUAGACAUGCCCUUGCCACUCUAGCUACACUUGGGAACGUGCAGCUGGCUUUGCUGGGCCACCCUGCUGCCCAGCAAACCCAGACUCGACCUUUCCAGUCUCCAUUUCUACUCCAGAGAGAAUGUGCAAAAAAUCAAUCCAACACCACCUGUAAGUCCAGCAUUUCACAAAUCUCAUUGCAAAUGCAUCUGGGGACCCAGGGAACCCGGCUCUGUAUUCUAAAGGGAUGAACGUGUAAAGGUCACAGGCCCUAAGAGGCUCUACAGCCAUGAGCCUAUUGUCCACCCUUCUACCCUCAUCUCCCUUGUAUCAAAAGCUGGUCCUAAUUCUUAAGGAAACAGCAAUACUGCUCUGAAAACAAGAAUCCUUAAGUACUUUUCCAGAGAAGAUGUAGUUUUCUUUGGAAGAAUAAACCACAGUGGCCCACACCAGACAGCUUUGGCCAUCUGGACCUUAAAAAGCUUGGGGCCUCUUUGUGCCACACUAGGGGGAUAGGGCAUCAGAAGGUGGCCACUAAACAAUUUCCAACAUAUAAAACCAUAGAGAAACAAUUACAGAGCUCCCCCUUUACCCAAUGAGACAAUCUCCUCUGCUCUGGACUCUGCUGCCCCAAGGGAGAAGCAACCAACCCCACAUGUCGUUCUAUAGAAUUAAAUGUAGGAAAUCCUGCCUCCCUCCCCCCCCCCCCCCCCAUAGCUCCCAACCACAGAGCUUCCACCUGUUCCAGGUGGGGACACAUCCCGUCCCCACCUAGGGCAGGUAGGUAGCAAGAAGUUAGAGCCCACCCCCGUCCCACAGCCUUCCCAGACAAGGUCACAAAUGACCCACAUUUUAAAAGGGAAUCUGCUUCCUUCUCUCCAAAACCCUGGAUGUGCAAAAGGGCUAUCGGAGUUAAAGGGAGUCACGAUUCUGCAAGACAAAUCGAUGGGUCAUACCCCCAACCUUAAAACUCUUAGGCAAUCCCCAGAGUGCCAAUCUGAAAUAAUUCAGAAAGCAAAGCAACUUGUGACAUAACAGGAACAUUAACUCUAAACAAAAAGUAGAAUCAAAACAAGAAAAGGAAUUAGUUUUGCAACAUACACAUAACCAAUCACGUCAGCGAAGGGUUGUUUGUAGAAAGCUUCAUCUGCCACCCUAGACAGCAAGAGGUCCAAAAGGCAGGCAAGCAGGCAGGAAAAAAGAGAGAACAUUGAGAAGCAGAAACAUCUCAAAUCCACAGUAGAGGCAUGACUGUGCUCCAGGGCGCUGCUCCCAAGGCUCCGUCCUCACCCAGCAAGGCUUCAAGUGCUGGAGACCAGCAGGCAAGGUUCUCCGCUGGCCUUCCCCAGGGGCGGGUUCUCCCAAGGGAGCCCUGCCAACUCCUUCCCCACCUUCUCCUGACAACGGCGAGCCUUUCUCAGCGCCCGCUUCCAGGUAAGCCCUUUUAGAGACUCCGAAUCCAUCCGAUCCAAUCCUCAACCCCAACGACCUAGGAGAACACUAGGACGUGGUCUCACCAACACUUUACAGAUCAGGUAACAGGAGGCCUAGAGAUGAAGCAACCUGCCCAAUCCCAGGCGACAGAACUCAGAAGCAGGCCGGCCUGGUUCUCUGCACUGUGCUGUAAGGCUUCUUCCCCGCUGGCGGAUGACCGGGAAGCCACGCCGCCUUCCCGUCAGCCUUAGGGAGUCUCGCUAGGCACGAACGCUGCCAGCUGCCCGACACCAAACACGCUAGGCCCCAAAGCCACUAUCCAACUACUGCUUCUGAACCACCCUGGCUCAAUGGGAUCAGUUUUCAGUAUUCUGGGAACAGAUGAGGAAAAAGUUGCCGGACACAAGUGGUCUGGCAGAAAGGACUGCAGCCCAGGGUCCUGGCUCUGGCCCCGUCUUCCUGUGUGUCCCCGAAUAAGCUGGUUCGUCCGCUCAGUCCAGCCAGACUGGACUGCCACCACAAGGUGCAGUCCAGAAACCCCAACUUCACUUCCCCUCUAACACCAGGAAUGGAUCAAAGUGGCAGGGCUCUAUGGGAAAGGGAAGGGGGGCACGCUGGGUGGAGGAGUUUACACCCCCACAGACAGGCUGGCUUAUUUAGACUUUGUUGCCCCAGGCUGAAUCCCUGGGCCUAGCCAGCCCACCCCAUCUAUUGUGGGUGGGCAGGAAACCUCCCUGCGGAAAUCUUACCCUGUCCUUUGCCAGGCUGGUUUUGGGGCACAGGAGCGGGAGGGGCAUUUUGAAGGAAAAUCAUGCCUGUUUAUUAACCUAAGGUCACUUAUUUAUUUAAAGGGAAAUUCUAGUAAUUUUAUUUCGGUUUAUUUUUAGACUCACCCACAGCCUGCCUUCUUUCCCAUUUUGGUUUAUACAUAGGAGGUGUUUUGUGGAAAUUUGAUUGUAACUCUAUGUGAGUCACCAGGAAAACAGAGUUGUUUGUGGGCAGAAUGAGUGGGCGGGAAAGGAAAGGCCAGACAGCUUGUAAGCCCAUAAUCCUUUUAGUUUACACAAAGGGCUAAACCUAAUCAAUUUCAGUUUGUGCUUGCUCCUACUGGAAGAAAAUAAAGGUUUAGUGACUCCAGUGGAGGCAUCACUAAGACAACAAAAGCCUGAAUGCCAGGCUUCUGUUCCUUUGCAGUUAGCCUCAAGACUAAAGAGUUUGUUAGUGACAGCAGAGCCCCAUCCAGGUCUGGUUACAGACAAGCAGGACAAAUGGAAAAUCAUCAUCUAAGUGGCCUGUUUGUUCUUCACCCACCAGACAGAAGGGCCUAAAAGCAGCAAUCCUCAUG